UACGAAGGGGGCUAGCGUUGCUCGGAAUUAUUGGGCGUAAAGCGCGUGUAGGCGGCUUUGCAAGUCGGGUGUGAAAGCCCUCAGCUUAACUGAGGAAGUGCGCCCGAAACUGCUUGGCUUGAGUACCGGAGAGGAUGGCGGAAUUCCCCAAGUAGAGGUGAAAUUCGUAGAUAUGGGGAGGAACACCGGUGGCGAAGGCGGCCAUCUGGACGGAUACUGACGCUGAGACGCGAAAGCGUGGGUAGCAAACAGG
rnacentral:rRNA from 1 species